GACGAACGCUGGCGGCGUGCUUAACACAUGCCAGUCGAACGGAAAGGCCCUGCUUUUGUGGGGUGCUCGAGUGGCGAACGGGUGAGUAACACGUGAGUAACCUGCCCUUGACUUUGGGAUAACUUCAGGAAACUGGGGCUAAUACCGGAUAGGAGCUCCUGCUGCAUGGUGGGGGUUGGAAAGUUUCGGCGGUUGGGGAUGGACUCGCGGCUUAUCAGCUUGUUGGUGGGGUAGUGGCUUACCAAGGCUUUGCCGGGUAGCCGGCCUGAGAGGGGGACCGGCCACAUUAGGACUGAGAUACGGCCCAGACUCCUACGGGAGGCAGCGGUGGGGAAUAUUGCACAAUGGGCGGAAGCCUGAUGCAGCGACGCCGCGUGCGGGAAGACGGCCUUCGGGUUGUAAACCGCUUUCGCCUGUGACGAAGCGUGAGUGACGGUAAUGGGUAAAGAAGCACCGGCUAACUACGUG
rnacentral:rRNA from 1 species